UUUAACAUCUGUCGUCCAUGAUCACUAGUAUGAAUUAUGAUGAUCCAUAGCUAUCAGCUGCCAGCUGCGUACCACUUCUACUCAUCGAUCGGGCACGUACGACUGAUUUUUAGCAUAUAUAAAGCGUGUGUGUACAGUACUGUAUGGCUGUAUUAUGCAUGCACAAGCAAAAAGGUUAAUUUGCUUGAUUAUAUUGAUGAGCUUGCAGUUAACUUAAUUAAUAUAGUUUGGCUUGGUUAAGUUUCUUGUGUGACGCGUGGAGAACGAACACACACACACACACAUAUAUCAGCAUGCAUUAUUGUGUGCUGUGUGUACGUGUUCAUGUACGGCCGGACUAGUCCGGAUUAAAUUAAUGGCCGGGGCAUUAUU
rnacentral:sRNA from 1 species